AGAGGCAAGUGGAACUCCAUGUGUAGCGGUGAAAUGCGUAGAUAUGUGGAAGAACACCAGUGGCGAAAGCGGCUUGCUAGAUCGUAACUGACGUUGAGGCUCGAAAGUAUGGGUAGCAAACGGGAUUAGAUACCCCGGUAGUCCAUACCGUAAACGAUGGGUGCUAGUUGUUAAGAGGUUUCCGCCUCCUAGUGACGUAGCAAACGCAUUAAGCACCCCGCCUGAGGAGUACGGCCGCAAGGCUAAAACUUAAAGGAAUUGACGGGGACCUGCACAAGCGGUGGAGCAUGUGGUUUAAUUCGAAGAUACGCGAAAAACCUUACCAGGUCUUGACAUACCAAUGAUCGCUUUUGUAAUGAAAGCUUUUCUUCGGAACAUUGGAUACAGGUGGUGCAUGGUCGUCGUCAGCUCGUGUCGUGAGAUGUUGGGUUAAGUCCCGCAACGAGCGCAACCCUUGUUAUUAGUUGCCAGCAUUUAGUUGGGCACUCUAAUGAGACUGCCGGUGAUAAACCGGAGGAAGGUGGGGACGACGUCAGAUCAUCAUGCCCCUUAUGACCUGGGCAACAC
rnacentral:rRNA from 1 species